rnacentral:rRNA from 1 species
GGGCUCGCAGGCGGUUCCUUAAGUCUGAUGUGAAAGCCCCCGGCUCAACCGGGGAGGGUCAUUGGAAACUGGGGAACUUGAGUGCAGAAGAGGAGAGUGGAAUUCCACGUGUAGCGGUGAAAUGCGUAGAGAUGUGGAGGAACACCAGUGGCGAAGGCGACUCUCUGGUCUGUAACUGACGCUGAGGAGCGAAAGCGUGGGGAGCGAACAGGAUUAGAUACCCUGGUAGUCCACGCCGUAAACGAUGAGUGCUAAGUGUUAGGGGGUUUCCGCCCCUUAGUGCUGCAGCUAACGCAUUAAGCACUCCGCCUGGGGAGUACGGUCGCAAGACUGAAACUCAAAGGAAUUGACGGGGGCCCGCACAAGCGGUGGAGCAUGUGGUUUAAUUCGAAGCAACGCGAAGAACCUUACCAGGUCUUGACAUCCUCUGACAAUCCUAGAGAUAGGACGUCCCCUUCGGGGGCAGAGUGACAGGUGGUGCAUGGUUGUCGUCAGCUCGUGUCGUGAGAUGUUGGGUUAAGUCCCGCAACGAGCGCAACCCUUGAUCUUAGUUGCCAGCAUUCAGUUGGGCACUCUAAGGUGACUGCCGGUGACAAACCGGAGGAAAGGUGGGGAUGACGUCAAAUCAUCAUGCCCCUUAUGACCUGGGCUACACACGUGCUACAAUGGACAGAACAAAGGGCAGCGAA